AAUUACAAGCUUCGUUCUCAUUUCUCAUUGACAUUUACUUCGCCAGAAACCGUCACUCACUCGCUCACUCACUCUCUGUUUGUUUGUUUGUUUGUGGAAUAUUGGGUCUGUUUGGCCAUGGAUGAGACGCUCUUGCCAGCUAUCGGGGUUGAGAUUUUGAUUCCGGCGUGCGCGUUGGUGGCAAUAGCGUUCGCGCUGGUCCAGUGGCUCCUCGUCUCGCGAGUCAAGCUCUCGCCCCACGGUCUCGACUCCGCAGCUAACGACGGUGGCGCCGGCAAGAAUGGCCACGCCGAAUACCUCAUUGAGGAAGAGGAAGGCCUUACCGAUCACAACGUCGUCCUCAAGUGCGCCGAUAUCCAAAGCGCCAUUGCUGAAGGAGCAACCUCCUUCCUAUUUACGGAAUACAAUUAUGUUGGUAUUUUCAUGGUGGCUUUUGCCGUAUUGACAUUCCUUUUCCUUGGCUCUGUGGAGGGUUUUAGCACAAGCAGUCAGACUUGCACAUAUGAUCCAACCAAGUUGUGCAAGCCUGCUCUUGCGACUGCUAUCUUCAGUACCAUAUCAUUCUUGCUUGGUGCUUUCACCUCGGUGGCCUCUGGCUUCCUUGGAAUGAAGAUUGCUACCUAUGCUAAUGCUAGAACCACCCUGGAGGCAAGAAAGGGCGUUGGGAAGGCAUUUAUCACAGCAUUCAGAUCUGGUGCUGUCAUGGGCUUUCUUCUUGCUGCUAACGGUCUCUUGGUGCUUUACAUUGCCAUCAAUCUCUUUAAGCUGUACUAUGGUGAUGAUUGGGAAGGCCUUUUUGAGUCUAUCACUGGUUAUGGUCUUGGAGGAUCUUCCAUGGCUCUCUUUGGUAGAGUUGGUGGGGGUAUCUAUACUAAAGCUGCUGAUGUUGGUGCUGAUCUUGUUGGAAAGGUUGAGAGAAACAUUCCUGAGGAUGACCCUAGAAAUCCAGCUGUCAUAGCUGAUAAUGUUGGCGAUAAUGUUGGGGAUAUAGCCGGUAUGGGAUCCGAUCUUUUUGGCUCAUAUGCUGAGUCCUCCUGUGCUGCCCUGGUUGUUGCAUCCAUCUCCUCUUUUGGGAUCAAUCACGACUUUACUGCAAUGCUAUAUCCUCUCAUUGUUAGUUCUGUGGGUAUCCUUGUUUGUUUGAUCACCACUCUAUUUGCAACUGAUUUCUUUGAAAUCAAUGAUGUGAAAGAAAUUGAACCAGCAUUGAAGAGGCAGCUCAUCAUUUCGACUAUUUUGAUGACUGUUGGUGUUGCACUUGUUAGUUGGAUUGCUCUCCCACUUUCCUUCACCAUAUUCAACUUCGGAACUCAGAAAGUUGUGAAGAACUGGCAGCUGUCCUUGUGCGUUGCUGUUGGUUUGUGGGCUGGGCUUAUUAUUGGAUUUGUCACUGAGUAUUACACUAGCAAUGCCUACAGUCCUGUACAAGACGUUGCUGAUUCCUGCCGGACUGGAGCUGCUACUAAUGUCAUUUUUGGCCUUGCAUUGGGCUACAAAUCUGUUAUUAUUCCUAUCUUUGCCAUUGCUGUUUGUAUCUAUGUUAGUUUCAGCUUUGCUGCUAUGUAUGGUAUUGCAAUGGCUGCCCUUGGAAUGCUGAGCACCAUAGCUACUGGAUUGGCCAUUGAUGCGUAUGGUCCCAUCAGUGAUAAUGCUGGAGGCAUUGCUGAGAUGGCAGGCAUGAACCACAGGAUUCGAGAGAGAACCGAUGCCCUUGACGCUGCAGGAAACACCACAGCUGCUAUUGGAAAGGGCUUUGCAAUUGGUUCAGCAGCUCUUGUGUCCCUGGCGCUCUUUGGUGCUUUUGUGAGCCGUGCAGGAAUUUCAACAGUUGAUGUCUUGUCUCCAAAAGUGAUCAUUGGCUUGCUUGUGGGAGCAAUGCUUCCUUACUGGUUCUCUGCCAUGACGAUGAAGAGUGUGGGAAGUGCAGCUCUGAAGAUGGUUGAGGAAGUGCGCAGGCAAUUCAACUCCAUCCCAGGUCUCUUGGAGGGCACUGCCAAGCCAGACUAUGCUACCUGUGUUAAGAUCUCCACUGAUGCUUCUAUCAAAGAGAUGAUCCCACCUGGUGCUCUCGUCAUGCUCACACCUCUUAUUGUAGGUAUCCUUUUUGGUGUGGAAACUCUCGCCGGCGUCCUCGCCGGAUCCCUUGUUUCUGGUGUACAGAUUGCUAUCUCUGCGUCUAACACUGGUGGCGCAUGGGAUAAUGCCAAAAAGUAUAUUGAGGCUGGUGCUUCAGAGCAUGCAAGAAACCUUGGUCCAAAAGGAUCGGAUCCGCAUAAGGCAGCUGUUAUUGGUGAUACUAUUGGGGACCCACUCAAGGAUACAUCUGGACCAUCUCUCAACAUUCUGAUCAAGCUAAUGGCAGUUGAGUCACUUGUGUUUGCUCCCUUCUUUGCUACACAUGGCGGCCUGCUCUUUAAGAUCUGAAACAAGGAGAUGGGAAAACAAGGAGGGAUGAACUCGAAGGGGGCAACGCCGACGCGUACUGCUGCUACCUCCCCAUCUGCGUUUGUCUCUACUGUGUUUCACAAAUCUCAUCAGAGAGCUCCUCUUGCUCCCGCAAAUUGCAAUGCUCUCUUUCUCUUCUCUUCACCGCCAUUAUUCAACUCUACCACCAUCUACACCCUCUCUCUAUUUCUCCCCUCUGCACCACGCUUUCUCUUUCUUCAACCCCCUUACUACCCCCACCUUCUCUCUAAGCAGCCGCACACCACUACGCAUUCGGGCCCUCGACGCCGCCCAGCCCUUUGACUAUGAAUCCAAGCUCGCCUCUGCCCAUUUCCACAACAGCCAGCACCUGAAAAUCGCCAUUGUCGGCUUCGGCAACUUCGGGCAGUUUCUGGCCAAAACCCUCGUCCGCCAAGGCCACACCGUCCUCGCCCACUCCCGCUCCGACUACUCCCACAUAGCCAAGAAUCUCGGUGUCUCCUUCUUCUCCGACCCCCACGACCUCUGCGAACAACACCCGGAAGUCAUUCUCCUCUGUAGCUCCAUCAUCUCCACCGAACAGGUCCUCCGCUCCCUCCCUCUCCAGCGACUCAAGCGUAGUACUUUGUUCGUCGACGUUCUUUCGGUCAAAGAGCUCCCCAGAGAUCUGCUGCUAGACCUUUUACCCAAUGAUUUCGAUCUGAUUUGCUCGCACCCAAUGUUCGGACCCCAAAGCGCCAGGCGCAGCUGGAAUGGGUGUUUCUUUGUCUACGAAAAAGUCCGAAUUGGCGACGAAGAAUCGAGGAUCUCGCGGUGCGAGAAGUUCCUCGAUGUUUUCGCGCGGGAAGGGUGUAAAAUGGUGGAGAUGUGCUGCGCGGAGCACGACAAGUACGCGGCGGGUUCACAGUUCAUUACCCAUACAGUUGGGAGGGUAUUGGAGAUGUUGAACUUGGAGUCCACGCCGAUUAAUACCAAGGGGUAUGGGACUUUGCUGGAUUUGGUGGAGAACACGGCGGCGGAUAGCUUUGAUUUGUAUUACGGGUUGUUCAUGUACAAUAAGAGCGCGUUGGAGAUGUUGGAGAGGUUGGAUUUGGCUUUCGAGGCGCUGAGGAAUGAGCUCUUCGGCCGCUUGCAUCAUGUGGUGAGGAAACAAUUGUUUGAGAAGGUGCGAAACUCGCAGGAAAGUAGCGCUCGGACUCGAAAUGGUGCUGCAUUGCCAUCUUCUGCAUUGGCUCUGAGGUCUGAGGAUGUUGCUCAACCGAAUGAGUACAAAGGGCAGAUCUCUGAUCGCUUUGGUGACAGCUCAAAACUAAAAAUUGCAAUAGUUGGAUUUGGCAACUUUGGUCAGUUCCUUGCGAAGGCUAUUGUACACCAAGGACACACUGUUUUGGCAUAUUCUAGAUCGGACUACUCUGAUGUUGCAAAAAAAUUAGGAGUUUCUUACUUCUCUGAUGCAGAUGAUCUUUGUGAAGAGCACCCUGAAGUUAUUCUUCUUUGUACUUCCAUUCUAUCUACUGAGAAAGUUCUGAAGUCAUUACCAGUUCAGAGACUGAAGAGGAGUACUCUGUUUGUUGAUGUACUUUCUGUGAAAGAAUUUCCUAGAAGUUUGUUUCUUCAAAAUCUGCCACCAGAUUUUGAUGUUCUCUGCACACAUCCUAUGUUUGGACCUGAGAGUGGUAAAAAUGGGUGGAAUGGUCUUCCUUUUGUUUAUGAUAAGGUUAGAGUUGGAAGUGAUGAAUCAAGAGUAUCACGGUGUGACUGGUUUCUUGAUAUUUUUGCACGAGAAGGGUGCCGAAUGGUGGAAAUGAGUUGUGCAGAACAUGAUUGGCAUGCGGCAGGGUCACAGUUCAUUACCCACACGAUGGGAAGGGUUUUGGAAAAGUUGGAGUUGGAGUCAACACCUAUUAACACAAAAGGUUAUGAGACUUUGUUAAAUCUGGUGGAGAAUACUGCAGGGGAUAGCUUUGACCUUUACUAUGGCUUGUUCAUGUACAAUGUAAAUGCGAUGGAGCAGCUAGAGAGGUUAGACCAUUCUUUUGAAUCAUUGAAGAAGCAGCUCUUUGGGCGUUUGCAUGGUGUUCUUCGGAAGCAACUGUUUGAGGAUGCAGAGAAGUUUGACGUCUCAUGGGAAAAACGCAUGUUGCCAAAACUAUCGGAAGGCAGUGCUGCACUGGCAUCUUCUUUGGAGACUCUUAAUGGCGAAAACAACUAAGUUCCAUGUUUCGUCUCAGUG